rnacentral:piRNA from 2 species
UGAAAAUGAAACCUGGUUGAUCGAAGAGAA